rnacentral:rRNA from 1 species
UACGAAGGGUGCAAGCGUUACUCGGAAUUACUGGGCGUAAAGGGUGCGUAGGUGGUUUGUUAAGUCUGCUGUGAAAUCCCCGGGCUCAACCUGGGAAUGGCAGUGGAUACUGGCAGGCUAGAGUGCGGUAGAGGGUAGUGGAAUUCCCGGUGUAGCAGUGAAAUGCGUAGAGAUCGGGAGGAACAUCCGUGGCGAAGGCGACUACCUGGACCAGCACUGACACUGAGGCACGAAAGCCAGGGGAGCGAACGGG